rnacentral:lncRNA from 1 species
GAACUUCAACCAAAUGCAACUGAUUGUAUUCCUUCAUCUGUCGGAAAUGAUAAUGAAAAACUAACUUCAAAGACUGAAUCCAAAGAUCUUCCCAACUUAGGAAAUGGCAAUGAAGAGCUUUUACGUGCGGAACUUGCGGAGAAAUUGUGUGAACUUGAGAGGUGUCGGCAGAUGCUCAAGAUUCAGUGUAAUCUCAAUUCAAUUUACAAAGACGAGGUUGAAAAACUCUCAUCUCAGCUGAUCAAGGAGAGAGAAGAGACUCACGUUGAUGGUUCCGUCAGUGCGGUGGAAGUUAUGCUAAAAGAACAUUUGGCCAAACUAGAACAAUUUCAAGUCACCAAAACGCUUCGGUCUCACGAACAGCAAACUGACUCUCAAGAUUUUCCGGACAAAUCACGAGCAUCGGAGAAUAAAAAGGAAGUAACGGUAGUUGUAGGAGUCAAAGAUGACAAUACUAAUUUAAUAGAAGAAGAUGAAGUCGUCCAAAAAAGUAAUGAUGCCAAAAUCUUGGAAAAUCCUACAUUUAAUGCCACUACAACAUCAGGAGGAAUCUCAAAGCAACUGGAGUCAACAAAUCAUGUUGUCUCUGAUAGUAAAAGUGAAGAAAAUCCAUCCCUCAAUGCGCAAAAUGACGUCUGUCAGUUUGAGCUCUACGUCCAUGAGUUGGUUCUAUCCAGUCACACUUUGACUCCAAAAACGCAGUUGUUCUUGACGUGGGGUUUUUUAGAUCAAGAAGAAUAUGCUUAUUCGCCAGUAAAGCCUGUCAGUGAUCUUAAUUUUUCAUGUUCCUGUAUUUACAAAGGGCAUUGCAGCGAGGAAUUUCUAAAGUAUCUACUAUCCCAUGGUGUUGUCAUUGAAGUGUACCAAGUUCUAGGAGAAGGAUGUUUCAAGAUUGCCGAAGCUAUGGUCGACACUAGUGCUGCUGUUAAAUUUCCAUCAAAGACGCAUUCCUCCAAAAUCCCGCUUGUCAGUCAAUAAUUGUUGGUGCUCUACAUAGUUCUAUUAAACUUGUGUGCUCUUGUGAAUUGCGGCAGCAAUUCUUAUUGCAGGUACAAAAUUAUUAAACACGUAUUUCAUCCGUUAUUACCAUCUGAUUUUGAUGCCUUCCAGAGAUAAAAUUUUUCUUACCUUUGUCACUAUAUUUUUAAAAUUGCCACAUACUUUUAAAUGUGUUAAAGCUAUGAUACAGGAGAACCAUGUUGCAAAAGCUGCAAAGGAUUACAAUAAUUCGCCAAUGCAACUUAUAUAAUGUACGGAAAAAGAAAAAACUGACAGACUUUAAGGUAGGUACCUACGCCUUAAAGUUUUCAAAAUCUGAAUUAUAUUUUUUUUUUGUAUCAUAUAUUUUGCGGUGGUAAAUGCUAGUAAUCUCUUGUAAGGAUCUAUCUUUAAAUUCAAACUGAUGCAUUUCUCUCAAGUUCUGUGACAAUUGUCCUUUUCAUAAUGCUGUGUCAAGGAUUUCCUUAAACCUUCCUCGAUCAAAAUGUAAACAAUAUAGAGGCCUCCUAAGGAAAGCAGAUGUUUAAGGAAUGACUAUGAAUAUGGUCCUGAGUCUUCGAAUGCUUAAAGGGUAGGCCUUAUACUCCAAAGACUGAGGGACAAAUUUUGCAGAAGAUAAAAAAGAAAAAAAAAUAUUACUUUCUGCAAUUGUUUUUAAAUUGUCGAUUUAGUGGGCCAAUUUUUAAAGUAGUAAAUAAAAUUUGUUGUUUUCAUUAGUUAAUUGAAGUCCAAGAAUGUAUUUCUAGAGUCCUGUGCCACUCUAAAAGUUGUAACUUAUACUGCAAGCUCUACAUCAGGGGAAAGUGGCCGGUCUUUAAGUAUUAUUCGAUGGCUGUCCAAUUGAUAAAAUAUUGCAAUUUCUUAAGUGAAAAACUAGAGUCUGAAAUUUGCAUAACCCUGACUCUUCUUCCCAGUUUUCCCUUGCGCUAGAUGAUCAAAAAUGCACCACACCUGUACCAUUAAGCUUCGAGGGAAGCAAAUUAAGGGUUUUAAAAAAAUUACGGAAAGAUCAAAAAUUGUCUCUUGAUCAAAGAGCUCCAUGUAAUUAACGUUGUGUUAAUAACAUUCCCAAAACCCUUGUAAUAUAGAUGAUAAUAAUACCUAGCCAGGUAAAAAUAAACCUAAAAAAUGAAAUUGUCACGAUUUUUAUGAAAAAAAUACAAUAAUAGUUUCUAUGUUUUGAAUACUAGUCCUUUUUCUGUGUUUUUAUGAUUAUAAUUAUAUUUUUUAAUGUACUUUUGUGAAAGUAUGAUAUCAUUUUUCACUUUCUCCGUUUCGUUUCAGAGUCAACCAAAGGAAGAAUUGAAAAGACCUGGUGUGGAAGCUGGACAGUGAAACAGUGCAAUAUAGGUUAAUCGUUCAAGUCAGUACCAUUUAAAUUAACUAAGGUACCAAUUCUUGUAAGUAGAAUGUAAGUUCUUAGACUGGUAAAUAUGGAAAUAAAAAACAAAAAGAAAAGAGUUGAUUUGUUUUAUUGCUGAUUUAUACUGUUAACAGAUUCGUCAGAGAAAAAUUCCCUGGCUCUUCCAGGUUUUCCUAACCAAAAUUAUCAAAAUCUCAUGACUUUUCAUGUCGACCCUUAAAACACAUAGGAGUGAUCAAUUUUUGACAAUAAUUUCACCAUAAAUGACUGAAAAUUCUCAAUCAACCAUACUUGCAAUUUUUUAUUAAGAACUUCUCCUCUAUUUACUACUCAGAGUGUAAAUCAGAGCAUUGAACCCGAGUAAGAAUAACUUUGAUUGUGUGGACACUGGACAGCACUGAUGUUUUUUAGAUUUAAAGUUUCAAGAUUUUUCAAAUUUCCAGUCUUUUUCAUUAAAUUCCCUGACUUUUCUCUAGCCUUUUUCUUUGGCAAUUCCUAUUUUUGAAGACCAGUGGACGUAAUGCUGCUUUAUUAUUCGUUCCAGUCUACUUGACAACCUUUUGUGAUCUGCAAAGAAGAAAAAAAACGCUGUAUGAACUAUCAAACAUGAAAAAAAAUUUCAUGGAACUUGUGAUUUUUUUACGGAAUCAUCAUUGUUUCAUCGAGUAUGUGUAAGAAUUUCAACGAAAAAUCUUCUUUUUCCUCAAAAAUAAAAAUUAUUUGGAAGGCAAUUGAGCAGCUUUUGAAUGUUUGAGUGGCAUUUUUUUAAAGCACAGCAGUGUUACUAACAAAGUUUUUGACUCAGCCUAUAGCGGCAUUGGUUCCAAGUUGUUCAUUCAUUUAAAAGAAAAUCGACUGAAAAGGGAGUUGCCACCCUAAAAUUAUGAAAAA